rnacentral:lncRNA from 10 species
CAAGAACACUGUAUGUUUUUUCCUUGCAUUAGGAAAUGGGGAUAAUUUUGACACUUUUCACUUUAUUUUAGAAAGAGCUUGUACUUUUGUUUUGUAAGGAAAAUAAAAAAGGUAAGCAUGGUAGGGCACAGUGGCUUGUGCCUGUAAUCCCAGCACUUUGGGAGGUCAAGGCUGGAGGAUCACUUAAGCCCAGGAGUUCGAGGCUGCAAUGAGCUAUGAAUACACCACUACAUCCCAGCCUGGGUGAUAGAGCGAGACCUUGUCUGUGGGAAAAAAAAAAAAAAGUGUGAGUGAUACUGUUUAUUACGAAGCUUAAUUUGCAUUGAGGUUAAAUGUUAAUGGGAUUCUCCUCUCUUCUUUUUCUAACUCUGAAAUCCCAUUCUAAGCCUUGAAAUGGGCAGAGCAAGGUAGGAGUCUCCAGCAGGGAGGAGGAGGGGAGUUGUGGUGGCUCAGAGCAACAUGUCAGACCCGAGAGGGUCAGUACUGAUAGGGCACAGCCUGUCAAGGGCUGUCAGAGCCUUGGCAGGGUGACAAGGAUGUUCACAUGUGGGGACAGGCUGGUGUGGGGUUUUGGAGGACAAGCUGAGUGAGGCAGGUAUCUAGAGGUAGAGUGGAUUGGAAUAUGGACCCCCAAAAUAUUUGUCCAAGUGCUAACUCCUAGUACCAAACUCUGUAUUAAUUUCUCAGAGCUGCUGUAACUAAUUAUGUUUAACUUGAUGACUUCAUUCAACAGAAAUUUAUUCUUUCACAGUUCUGGAGACCAGAAGGCCAAAAUCAAAAGUAUGGGCAGGCUUGAUUUCUUUAGAAGACUCCAGCGGAGAACUGUGUCUCCUUGCUUCUGGUGGGUAUUGGCAAUCCUUGGAGUUCCUUGGCUUGUAGGCACAUCGCUUCAAUCUCUGCUUCUGCUUUCACGUGGGGCUCCUCCCUGUAUGUGUCUGUGUUGCCUCCUUUUCUGACUCUCAUAAGAACACUUGUUAUUGGAUAUAGAGCCCUCCCUAAUCCAGGAUGGUCUCAUCUUGAGAUCUUUAUCUUGGUUAUGUCUACAAAGACCCUUAUUCCAAAUAAAGUCACAUUUUGAGAUUUUGGGUGGACAUGUGUUUUGAUGUGCCACUAUUCAACACACUACCAAAGAGGUCACUCAUCACGUGGUUUCAGAGAUCAAGAGGAGUGAGAAUGGCAUCCCUGUGAAGGGGUGGUUUCUUGUGGGGCAUGAAAGCUUAUGCAGGAUAGGAGAGUAUCUAUGCUAGAAGUCACCCAGCAUAAAUGUCAGACCCCAAGUGGGGUGAUGAGGCGAGAUGAGAGAUUGGUUACAUAUGGUAGACUGAUCCAAUAGGCAAGUAAGUAUAUUGAGGGUGAGAGGAGCCAAGUUUCUGUCAUAGAAGCAAAUUACAAAUAUAAAAAAGGAGAAAAUUAUGGAGUUGAAGGUACUGGUGUGAACUUGUAAUUUGUAAUAAAUGAGCUAUAUUAAUACAUGGAGAUGUAAAUGUAUGUGGGUGUAUGUGUGUUUUAUAAUACCUAGCUCUGUUCACUGAAAUAGGCUGGCAACAUAUCCACUGCGAUAGCAACUAGCACAUUUAGCAUCCAUAUCUUGGCUUCUAAAUACUGGUCUUCACCAGAAAGAGAGAGUUUUUCUUGGGAAAAUGACCAGAUUUCAUAGAGGGAGUACAUUGUAUAGAGGGAGUACAAUAUCAAGCAUUUUAUACCAGAAAGUAAGGAAGUCCUUUAAAAAAAUAAUGGAGUCGUGUCAAAAGGGCGCAAAAAUCAUCCUGAAGAAGCUCCCAUAAGCCAAAUUGGGAAUAAUUUGACCAUCAAAGUAAACGAUAGUAAUGUAUUACCGCUCAUUAAAGUACAAAACCGUUAAGUCCAUCAUUAUCAAAGUAAGUGAGUAAAUUGAAAAUUUGGAAUGAAUGAGAUAUUUACAUACUUUCAAAUCUAUCCCCCACAAAAUAUUUACUAAUCACAAGGGGGAAAAUGAAUACAUUUUGAAUGGAGAAACAUGCCGAUGCCACCUGAACUGAGUGAUCAAAGUGAACAUCGUCAGUGAUAGCAUAAAUCAAAAUUACUUGUCACCCACCUGAUAGAAUGCAAUGAGAAACAUCUGUGAUAUUCCUGUCAGAUGCAUCAUCUGAAUCUUAUCAUGAGAAAGCACAAUAAAGCCAAAUUGAGGCAUGUUCUACCGAAUAAAUGGAUGGUAAUUUUCAAAAGUCUUAGAGUUUUGAAAGCCAGGGAAAGACUAAUGAACUAAUGAAGGCAUCUAGAGAGACAUGAUAACUAAUUGCAAUGUGUGUUUCUGAACUGGACACUUAUUUUGACAAUCAAAUCUGAAAAUUAGAGAGUAGUAAUAUCUCAACAUAUCAAUUGCUUAAUAAAUACCCAGAGCAGAGUAAGCACUCAGUUUAACUAUGAUGAUGACAAUGAUGACACUGACAAUGAUUACUGAAGGACCGCAUGAAAAAAUACACCUAGCAGGGGUGGGGGGAGCGGGGAGGGAUAGCAUUAGGAGAUAUACCUAAUGUAAAUGACAAGUUAAUGGGUGCAGCACACCAACAUGGCA